UACGUAGGGUGCAAGCGUUGUCCGGAAUUAUUGGGCGUAAAGAGCUCGUAGGCGGUUUGUCGCGUCUGCUGUGAAAACCCGGGGCUCAACCCCGGGCCUGCAGUCGAUACGGGCAGACUAGAGUGUGGUAGGGGAGACUGGAAUUCCUGGUGUAGCGGUGAAAUGCGCAGAUAUCAGGAGGAACACCGGUGGCGAAGGCGGGUCUCUGGGCCAUAACUGACGCUGAGGAGCGAAAGCGUGGGGAGCGAACAGG
rnacentral:rRNA from 1 species